rnacentral:rRNA from 1 species
AGAAUGAACGCUGGCGGCGUGCUUUACACAUGCAAGUCGAGCGAGGCGGGUAGCAAUACCCAGUCGAGCGGCGAACGGGUGAGUAACGCGUGGAUGACCUGCCCUGAGGUGGGGAAUAACCCGGGGGAAACUCGGGCUAAUACCGCAUAUGACCGUGAGGUCAAAGAGGGGUCGCAAGAUCUCUUGCCACAGGAGGGUCCGCGUUCGAUUAGCUAGUUGGUAGGUAUGGCCUACCAAGGCGACGAUCGAUAGCCGGCCUGAGAGGGUGAUCGGCCACACUGGAACUGAGACACGGUCCAGACUCUACGGAGGCAGCAGUGGGAAUUUGCGCAAUGGGCUAACGCCGUGACGGCAGCAACGCCGACGUCGGAGGAUGGAAGGUCCUUGGAGUUGUAAACUCCGUU